rnacentral:rRNA from 1 species
CUACGGGUGGCUCCAGUGAGGAAUAUUGCACAAUGGGGGGAACCCUGAUGCAGCAACGCCGCGUGGAGGAUGACGCAUUUCGGUGUGUAAACUCCUUUUAUAUGUCAAGAAAAUGACGGUAGCAUAUGAAUAAGCACCGGCUAACUCCGUGCCAGCAGCCGCGGUAAUACGGAGGGUGCAAGCGUUACUCGGAAUCACUUGGCGUAAAGGAAGCGUAGGCGGGUUGGAAAGUCAGGUGUGAAAUCCUACAGCUUAACUGUAGAACUGCACUUGAAACUUCUAAUCUAGAGUAUGGGAGGGGGAGAUAGAAUUAGUGGUGUAGGGGUAAAAUCCGUAGAUAUCACUAGGAAUACCUAAAGCGAAGGCGAUCUCCUGGAACAUUACUGACGCUAAGGCGUGAAAGCGUGGGGAGCAAACAGGAUUAGAUACCCUAGUAGUC